rnacentral:ncRNA from 1 species
UAGAGUAGAUAUUGUGCGUAAAGUGUCAUGAGAUGGGAUGUUGCUCAUGAACGAAGGUUUAUCCGCGGUACAAUGUCGCGUCCGCUA